rnacentral:tRNA from 1 species
GAGGUGGUGGCUGAAUGGUUAAAGCGGUAGACUGUAAAUCUAUUGGGAUUCCCGUCGCCGGUUCGAUUCCGGUCCACCUCACCA